UACAGAGACCUCAAGCGUUAUCCGGAUUUAUUGGGCGUAAAGCGUGUGUAGGCGGAGAUGAUAGUCAGAUGUCAAAUUCCAGUGCUCAACAUUGGAGCCGCAUCUGAAACGUCAUCACUAGAGACAAGUAGAGGUUCAUGGAACAUAUGGUGUAGCAGUGAAAUGCGUUGAUAUCAUAUGGAACGCCAAAGGAGAAGUCAGUGAACUGGGCUUUGUCUGACGCUGAGACACGAAAGCGUGGGUAGCGAAUGGG
rnacentral:rRNA from 1 species